CUCAUUUAGCGAGGACGGUGUGACUAUACUAGUGCCUUAAUCAUCCAGCAUGUGUUCUAAACGGAGUUCAUUAUUCGCCGUUAUCACGGUUUUAAUAGUUCUUUUUUGUGCAUCUUGUAUACAUGCAGCACCAUUAGAAAUAGUUUCAUACAAGGAAGGAUGCAAAGAAUCCAAAAUAAAUAAUGGUUUGAAAUGUGCUAGAGAAUUUGAUAGACUUUGGAAAAAUGAAAAAACUAUACAUUGUCCGUUGCAGAUUAUCAUUUGUAUGAUGCGAUUCCAUAUACAGGACUAUGAUACUUUAAAAGGGAGAGUGGACUUCAUGCGCAAAUAACUCUGUGAUUAGUGUAAAAAAAAAUGUCUUGCGUUGUAUUUAUUGCUGUUGAUAUGUAUUAGGCUUUUUUCAAUUUUCUUCAUUAUUUAUGCACUGUUAUGACCGUUUUGUAAAUCCAUCCAAGUGCCAAGUUAUUGUUAUUUUGUUAUGAUUAUUAUAUUUUUAUAUAA